AGAGUUUGAUCCUGGCUCAGGAUGAACGCUAGCGGCAGGCUUAAUACAUGCAAGUCGAGGGGCAGCAUGAUUGUAGCAAUACAAUUGAUGGCGACCGGCAAAUGGGUGCGGAACACGUACACAACCUUCCUUCAAGGGGGGAAUAGCCUAGAGAAAUUUGGAUUAAUACCCCGUAAUAUACGAGAAUGGCAUCAUUUUUGUAUUAUAGUAUUUACGCUUGAAGAUGGGUGUGCGUCUGAUUAGGUAGUUGGUAGGGUAACGGCCUACCAAGCCGACGAUCAGUAGCUGAUGUGAGAGCAUGAUCAGCCACACGGGCACUGAGACACGGGCCCGACUCCUACGGGAGGCAGCAGUAAGGAAUAUUGGACAAUGGACGGAAGUCUGAUCCAGCCAUGCCGCGUGAAGGAUUAAGGUCCUCUGGAUUGUAAACUUCUUUUAUUUGGGAAGAAAAAAGGGAAAUCUUUCCCUCUUGACGGUACCAAACGAAUAAGCACCGGCUAACUCCGUGCCAGCAGCCGCGGUAAUACGGAGGGUGCGAGCGUUAUCCGGAUUUACUGGGUUUAAAGGGUGCGUAGGCGGGCAACUAAGUCAGUGGUGAAAUCCUUGAGCUUAACUCGAGAACUGCCAUUGAUACUAUUUGUCUUGAAUAUUGUGGAGGUAAGCGGAAUAUGUCAUGUAGCGGUGAAAUGCUUAGAUAUGACAUAGAACACCUAUUGCGAAGGCAGCUUACUACGCAUAUAUUGACGCUGAGGCACGAAAGCGUGGGGAUCAAACAGGAUUAGAUACCCUGGUAGUCC
rnacentral:rRNA from 1 species